rnacentral:piRNA from 1 species
UNGACCGCCUGAAAGACUGCCUACAGG